UCCGCCUUCUUCCCGGCCUCCGACGCCGAGCCCGCCGCCUUGAUCAGUGGGUGGUCCUCGCCUCCCUCUGCCUCCAUGCCCACCCUUGAAGACAUCGACGUCGUCGCCGCCGCCGAAGACCUCCUUCCGCGUUCGGGUCGACCUCGGGCCCCGGCCCGCCCUCGUAUGGUGCUGGUGUCUAACCUCCGGAGCGGUAUGGUUCGUGCUCCAGAAAGUCGUCGUGGGCGCCAUCUUCGCCCUUCCGGCGCGGGCGCAGCCGCAGAGUAGACAAAUCCAUGGUUGCUUCGCACGUCUGUGGGGCAACGGUACCAGCGGGUGUGGGAGCCUGGGAAGCGGAGCUGGUUAUCGGCUGCAAGGCUUCACAAGGGUUCUGCUAGGUUCUCAGUCUGCUGUCCUUAUUUUCGUUCAGGUUGAUUUUGGAAGGGAAUCUGAAAUUGUAGCUUGAGCGAUUCGUUAGUACAACUACAGAGGGACAAGUUCAUCCACAGAUCAAGUUUUACAUAAAGACACACAGCACAAGGUAUAAAGGGAACACAUCAAUUCUGCUCAAGACUUGUACUUUGUCACCUACAAAACAUCUGCAUAAUAUCGUUGUGGUAGCUGUGACAAUGUUUCCGCUUAAAAAAACCGAAACAAUGUUUGUAUUUAGACUUCCAAUUUUGCCACAGGAGCAAGAUAAUGAACAAGUUUCUUACA